GACGUAGGGCGCGAGCGUUGUCCGGAUUUAUUGGGCGUAAAGAGCUCGUAGGCGGCUUGUCGCGUCGACUGUGAAAACCCGAGGCUCAACUUCGGGCUUGCAGUCGAUACGGGCAGGCUAGAGUUCGGUAGGGGAGACUGGAAUUCCUGGUGUAGCGGUGAAAUGCGCAGAUAUCAGGAGGAACACCGGUGGCGAAGGCGGAUCUCUGGGCCAUUACUGACGCUGAGGAGCGAAAGCGUGGGGAGCGAACAGG
rnacentral:rRNA from 1 species